CUCCCUUUCUCUCCCCUCGGAGUUCGUUCUCUGCGGCACUGAUAUACAAUCUGCAUUUUAAAAUGUCGCGGUCUUCCAGCGUACUUUUUAUUCGCAAAGACAGAAGCUCGCUGGGUCCACGGGAUAAUGCACAUGUUGUAAUGAGAAACCAGCCGCGUGAAGCCGGACGGGUUUGCUUUGUGCGCGGACCGGCCCGGGUUAAGAGUCAGUCAGGCGCCGCUGCGGGCGGGAUACACUAGAUGGACGGGGGCUAAAGGCUGUGGAAGUGACAGAAAGGAACAAGUGCAGAUGCGUUAAAGGGUUUAGUAACGCCGAGAUGGAAGAUCAGCUAUGGUGGUGUUUUGGAGGCUGAGCGGGCGAGGUGCGAUCCACUCUCCCUGCUACUUCCCGGAGAAGGGAAAACGACUGGCGUCCUGGGUUCCAGCAAAACAAAACGCUGGAGGAACUCGGCAAGUCAGUCACCAUCUAAGGAGACGUUUCGGGAGAGCCAUUUACGUCCGCACAUGCUGCUCGGCCCGCUGAGUUCCUCCAGCUCUUUGUGUGUUGCUCCGGAUUCCAGCAACUACAGAUGCCCGUGACUAACUCGGGGGGUCUAAAAUUGACAAGAUCCGGCGUGCAACUUGAGAAGUGGGGCUUCGUGUGGUCCCCUCCUUCCACAAAUGUGCAUCUCCUGGCAAUCCGUUUGAAGCCUGACAGCUAGAGCAAAGUUAUUGGGCGAUAUUUAGACAAAUUAAAGACACGUUGACGUUGAAGUACUUUAUUUUCAUUGGCUGUUAACGAUUGAGCUGCAGAUCGGGUUACGGGCCGAUAAUUAUCUCCGGUGUCUCUAGAGUCAGGCUGAAAUCAUCUAGAGGUGUGUUUUUAGAUUCAUUACUGAGGAAGUGGUGUCUGCCGAUCGUCGUCUAACUGCCCAUUCAUCGCCGUUCCGUUUUAAGAUCGGUCACAUGAAAGAAGGGGUUCCUGUCAAUCAGUGUGUGGGAUUGGGGUCAGACAUGGGGCAGGAUAGGUAGGAACAGGAUAGGUUACUUUCCUCUCGGGUGUCAAUCAAUCAACUCUUGUUUUACAGCCCAGGGCUUCGCGUUUUUUAAAAUUACAUCAUUUUUAAUUUUCCAGAUUUUAAAACCAAUCAAAUCUGUUUUGCGUGGAACUGGCAGUCACGUUGUAUAUUUCACUGUAUAAUUGCCUAAGUUCGGAAUAAGCUCAAUAAAUUGCUAGAAUUGUUCUCCAAAGGGGACUUAUGCAGAACUUUGGCAGCUACAUAGCACGUAAAGGUCUAGCGACCUCUGACAUUUUUAUCUCUCCACAUAUGCUGCCCGACCAUUUGAGUGUUUCCCGCGUUUAGUUUUUCUUUAAUUUCGUAUUUUUAGUAUCUGCAGUUCUGGUUUCCGAUCAUUAAACUGUAUUUUGUUCUUUAAGCAUA